GGUGGACAGGAAGCCUCGUUGACGGGCUUUGGCUUGAUUUCACGAGGGCCUGAGGUAAGGCAUUUUCUAUGGGUGACGUCAACACCUCACUCAGGUGUUCAGGUGAGUCCAGCCAGUUAGAACAUACAAGAGCAGGGUAUGCUGGAAAACAAGCAGGAAUGAAGUACUCGAGUUCCCUAUCCCCGGCAUAGAUCAUACUAAGGAGGAGAGGCAUGUUAAAAUCCAACUGAUUGUUUAGGAGAACUCUGACUUCCUGUUCUUGUUCAGUCUUGCUGCAGCUCCGCCCCCGUCUGCAGCUGCCCGGUCUCAUUAGGUGUGUUGGAGAUCCCCCAGCGCCACCAUGCACUGCAAUCCAGGCCAUCUGCACAGCGCAGACAAUCUCAAACACAGGUAUUGAGUCGAUGGUUCACCUCUGAAACCGAUAGAGUUCCACUUACAGAUCGGUUUUCUCUCGGGUCGUGUGCAGGCCUCUCUUCUCCACUUCCUCCAGCUUCUCCAGAGGAAUCCUGAUCUGUUUGCUGUCCAGCAGAAGGAUUUCGUCCCUCCUGUGCAUCCAUGGUCCUCCCAGAGGUGUUGGACUGGUUGGACAUGUCAGUUUUUGUUUCUGCAGUUUAGUGUCUUUGAUUCUGCUCAUUUUCCGGUUCAGUUGACUGACUUUCGUUGGCGCAACUUGCUGCCAAAGCUUCAUCAGUUUCAUGUCUUUGAUAUUUCAACAGGAAUCCUGGGUCUGAAAUGUUUCCCCAUGCUUGGGAAACUACAUCCACAUUCUCUUGUGAAAGGUCAUUACUCUUGAGAACUUCAAUCUUUGGCUGGCACAUCUCCUUUGCCUUGCUCUUCGCAAUUUCUUUUAAGUUUUCUUCAAUACAAAUGCUGAUUUCCUCUGCCAGAAUCUUUUCAUACUUUUGUUCAAAGUAGUGGUUUUGGCACUGAUUACAAUUGCAGCAUGUUAUUAUUCUUGGUUUCACAUAUUCAACAGAGAUCCAGAAAGGUAGGACAAUGCAGCAAAGCCCAAGACCAAUAUCCUGAAAAAAAGAAAAAAAAGAUUUUAAAGUUCCCCUCUGAUGAAAAUACUCUUUUUUAGUUUUUAACAUGUAUGUUUGGCAUUUUUCUUAUGAAAGAGAAUCAGAAGCAUUUAUUGUAAUUGUAACAGUACAUUACAACAAAAUUACAUGUAAGUAGUGGUGGGAGUUGGGCGGGGGGCAAAGUACACAAGGGGAUCAGCGGAGGCAAAAAAAAAAGAACAAACAUCUGUACUCUGCUCCAAAGGGGCAGAAUAUAGGUACAUAAAAAAAA